rnacentral:rRNA from 2 species
CACCGGCGGCCCGAGUGGUGAUCGGAAUCACUGGGCGUAAAGCGCUCGUAGGUUGCUUUGUAAGUCAGGUGUGAAAUCCCACGGCUCAACCGUGGAAUUGCACUUGAUACUGCAUUGCUUGAGUUCGGGAGAGGGUAGUGGAAUUCCAGGUGUAGGAGUGAAAUCCGUAGAGAUCUGGAGGAACACCGGUGGCGAAGGCGACUACCUGGACCGAUACUGACACUGAGGAGCGAAAGCGUGGGGAGCAAAC